UACAGGGGGGGCAAGCGUUGUUCGGAAUUACUGGGCGUAAAGGGUUCGUAGGUGGCCACUUAAGUCAGACGUGAAAUCCCUCAACUUAACUGGGGAACUGCGUCUGAUACUGGAUGGCUUGAGUGCAGGAGAGGAAUGCGGAAUUCCAGGUGUAGCGGUGAAAUGCGUAGAUAUCUGGAGGAACACCGGUGGCGAAGGCGGCAUUCUGGACUGUAACUGACACUGAGGAACGAAAGCCAGGGGAGCAAACGGG
rnacentral:rRNA from 1 species